rnacentral:rRNA from 2 species
UAUCCUGUCUGAAUAUGGGGGGACCAUCCUCCAAGGCUAAAUACUCCUGACUGACCGAUAGUGAACCAGUACCGUGAGGGAAAGGCGAAAAGAACCCCGGCGAGGGGAGUGAAAAAGAACCUGAAACCGUGUACGUACAAGCAGUGGGAGCACCCUUUGGGGUGUGACUGCGUACCUUUUGUAUAAUGGGUCAGCGACUUAUAUUCUGUAGCAAGGUUAACCGAAUAGGGGAGCCGGAGGGAAACCGAGUCUUAAUUGGGCGUUAAGUUGCAGGGUAUAGACCCGAAACCCGGUGAUCUAGCCAUGGGCAGGUUGAAGGUUGGGUAACACUAACUGGAGGACCGAACCGACUAAUGUUGAAAAAUUAGCGGAUGACCUGUGGCUGGGGGUGAAAGGCCAAUCAAACCGGGAGAUAGCUGGUUCUCCCCGAAAGCUAUUUAGGUAGCGCCUCGUGAAUUCAUCUCCGGGGGUAGAGCACUGUUUCGGCUAGGGGGCCAUCCCGGCUUACCAACCCGAUGCAAACUGCGAAUACCGGAGAAUGUUAUCACGGGAGACACACGGCGGGUGCUAACGUCCGUCGUGAAGAGGGAAACAACCCAGACCGCCAGCUAAGGUCCCAAAGUCAUGGUUAAGUGGGAAACGAUGUGGGAAGGCCCAGACAGCCAGGAUGUUGGCUUAGAAGCAGCCAUCAUUUAAAGAAAGCGUAAUAGCUCACUGGUCGAGUCGGCCUGCGCGGAAGAUGUAACGGGGCUAAACCAUGCACCGAAGCUGCGGCAGCGACGCUGAUGCGUUGUUGGGUAGGGGAGCGUUCUGUAAGCCUGUGAAGGUGGCCUGUGAGGGUUGCUGGAGGUAUCAGAAGUGCGAAUGCUGACAUAAGUAACGAUAAAGCGGGUGAAAAGCCCGCUCGCCGGAAGACCAAGGGUUCCUGUCCAACGUUAAUCGGGGCAGGGUGAGUCGACCCCUAAGGCGAGGCCGAAAGGCGUAGUCGAUGGGAAACGGGUUAAUAUUCCCGUACUUGGUGUUACUGCGAAGGGGGGACGGAGAAGGCUAUGUUGGCCGGGCGACGGUU